rnacentral:lncRNA from 1 species
AGGAGUGGGACAAAGAGCCACGUGCACAGAUGAAUGAACAACUUUUUGUGGUGCAAUGGAGGACCUUUAAGGCAACUUCAGAAGGGUGGAGAUCAAUUUCCUGGUUACAUUUCCUUUCCCAUUCUUAUUGGACUUUUUGUUUUCAUUUUAUUUUCUUUGCUUUUAUUUCUUUAGUUUUGAUAUAUUGUUUUAUUAUUGAUGGUUUGUUGUACUCAAUUUUUAAUAAAAAUAC